AUUGAACGCUGGCGGCAGGCCUAACACAUGCAAGUCGAGCGGAGCGGCGGACGGGUGAGUAAUGCCUAGGAAUCUGCCUGGUAGUGGGGGAUAACGUCCGGAAACGGGCGCUAAUACCGCAUACUAUCAGAUGAGCCUAGGUCGGAUUAGCUAGUUGGUGGGGUAAAGGCCUACCAAGGCGACGAUCCGUAACUGGUCUGAGAGGAUGAUCAGUCAAAAUGGAAAUUGGAAACGGGCCAGAAUUCUACGGGAGGCAGGCGGUGGGAAUUUUCGGCAAUGGGGGAAAGUCUGGCGGAGGAACGGCGGGGGAGGGAUGACUGGCUUCGGGUUGUAAAGCGCUGUUAAUCGGGAGACGUUACCGAAAUAGAAAGCCACGGCUAACUACGUGCCAGCAGCCGCGGUAAUAC
rnacentral:rRNA from 1 species